AGUCGAAGAAGGACGCGAUAAGCUGCGAUAAGCUUCGGGUAGGCGCAAAUAGCCUGUGAUCCGGAGAUUUCCGAAUGGGGAAACCCUCAUGAUUAACAUCAUGAACUGUAUACUGAAUUCAUAGGUAUACAGGGGCACACCCGGGGAACUGAAACAUCUAAGUACCCGGAGGAAGAGAAAGAAAAAUCGAUUUUCUUAGUAGCGGCGAGCGAAAAGGAAAGAGCCCAAACCGGAAACUUGUUUCCGGGGUUGCGGAUAGAUCACAAUGCUUAAUAUCUUAACCGAAUAUCUCUGGAAAGUGAAACCAUAGAAGGUAACAGUCCUGUAGGUUAAAAGAGAAAAAAGCCGAUCUACUCCAGAGUACCACGAGACACGUGAAACCUUGUGGGAAGCUGGGAGGACCACCUCCCAAAUUGCUGGUUUACU
rfam:Clostridium sp. DMHC 10 contig_16, whole genome shotgun sequence.